AAAAGAGAAGAAAAGAAAACCCUACACAGUCCACUGUUGUAGUCCGUUAAAAAGCGCCACCGUCGGGAGUAAAAAACGACGCCGAGAAGAGAGAAAUGUUUUCCGAUCCCGGCUACAGUAACGGCUACUGCCGCCCCCAAGAGGGCGGCGCGGCGCCGGAGCACGGCGCCCUCCGGCCGCCCCACAGGGGCCGCGGGCGCCGGAGGGGACGGCGGGGCAGGUCGCACGACCCGGCCGAUUCUCCCGCCUCCGGCGGCGCCCCUAGGGUUGCCGAUUCCGAGCAGGGGGUGGAGCAGAAGCCUCCGCCCUGCACCGACUUCGACAUGGCGUACUUCCACUCUUACGCCCACCUCGGCAUUCACGAGGAGAUGAUCAAGGAUCGUGUCCGAACAGAGACUUAUAGGACGGCGAUAAUGCGGCAUCAGAGUUCUAUUGCUGGCAAAGUUGUUGUUGAUGUUGGUUGUGGGACAGGCAUUCUCUCUAUUUUUUGUGCCCAGGCUGGUGCCAAACGGGUUUAUGCAGUGGAUGCAAGCGACAUUGCAGUGCAGGCAAAUGAAGUUGUUAAAGCAAAUAAUUUGUCUGACACGGUAAUAGUAUUACAUGGACGAGUUGAGGAUGUUGAGAUCGAUGAGGAGGUUGAUGUGAUAAUCUCGGAGUGGAUGGGGUACUUGCUUCUUUAUGAGAGCAUGUUGGGCAGUGUGAUAACUGCAAGAGAUCGCUGGCUGAAACCUGGAGGCUUGAUCCUUCCAUCAAAUGCGACGUUGUAUAUGGCCCCUGUCACACAUAGCGACCGGUAUAGUGACAGCAUUGAUUUCUGGCGCAAUGUGUAUGGGAUUGAUAUGUCUGCUAUGUUGCCCUUAGCAAAACAAUGUGCCUUCGAAGAGCCUUGUAUAGAGACAAUAUCUGGUGAAAAUGUUUUGACAUGGCCACAUGUGGUAAAGCAUGUGGACUGCUACACUGUUACACUUGGUGAACUAGAGUCAGUCACAACGAAAUAUAAGUUCAAGUCAAUGAUGCGAGCUCCAUUGCAUGGGUUCGCGUUUUGGUUUGAUGUUGAAUUUAAUGGGCCUGCAACAUCUCCCACCAGUAAUCAAGUCUCAUCAUCAUUUAUAGAGUCCUCAAACAAUCAGUCCACAGAUGUCAGUCAGAGGAAAAAACGAGCUAAUCCGAGUGAAGCAUUAGUGCUUUCUACUGCACCAGAGGACCCACCAACCCAUUGGCAACAGUUUUGCAGACUAUGGUAUACUUCUACGAUCCAAUAGACCUUGAGCAAGACCAACUCAUUGACGGUUCUUUAACAUUAACCCAAAGCAAAGAAAAUCGUCGGUUCAUGAAUAUUCACCUUGAAUACACGUCAGGUGGGCGAUCUUUUGUGAAAGAGUCUGUAAUGCGAUGACGUUUCUUGAUUUCCUAGAGUUGGAUUUUCUAUCAGGCGAAUGUAUAUCUCAAAUUGAGGCUAACAGUGAGGUUUAUGGACUUUCCAAUUGUAGUGGGCAUGUGGGGCUAACAUAAGAGCGCGUAUCAUCUCUCUACGAGUUUAUAUAUUCCUAUUUUCCAUCGGAUUGUAUCAGGUCUAAAAUUAUUUGUAGGACGGGAGAGAGAGUUCUUGCGGUGCUUGUUUGAUGAAUGCGUCUCUUGUGAUGCCCCUUUAUGGCCAAAAGACAGGUCAUCGUCUGUCAUAUGGUGCUCCUGUGUCAGUGUUUGCAUUAUUUCAGCAUGGGAACUUACUGAAAGAUUAAAAGUGAUUAUAGAGGCUUUUCAUGAAAUUAGCCUUC